rnacentral:ncRNA from 1 species
UGGUGUCACGAUUCCUCAUCUUCGGAAAAGUGAUGAAAAGGGAAUCAGGUGCAAAUCCUGAACAGACCCGCUGCUGUAAGCUCCACCAAAAUUUUCGGAUAAUACUCAUUACCACUGUCCUGCAAGGACGGGAAGGUCAUCCGGAAAUGGAGUAAGUCAGAAGACCUGCCAGAAUAAU